CACCGGUCGAGAGUUAGUGCCGAUCUCCUAAUGAGUCAAAGGCAGGACGAAACCAGUG
rnacentral:sRNA from 1 species